AUUGUCAUUGACGUUUCGAAUCCGAAUUGGGAUUCGUCAUCAGGACUAAUCGUCAAUUGAUAGCAAGUUAUCAAUUGACAAUUAUUCAUGAUGAUGAAUCCUGAUUCGGAUUCGAAACGUCGAUGGCAAU
rnacentral:pre_miRNA from 1 species